GAUGAAGAACGCAGCGAAAUGCGAUAAGUAAUGUGAAUUCCAGAAUUCAGUGAAUCAUCGAAUCUUUGAACGCACAUUGCGCCCCUUGGUAUUCCGGGGGGCAUGCCUCUUCCAGCGUCAUUUCACCCCUCAAGCUCUGCUUGGUUUUGGGCCGCGCCGGCAACGGCGGGCCUCGAAAAUAGUGGCGACGCCAUCGUGCUCUCAGCGUAGUAAUUCUUCUCGCUGUUGGGUCCCGGUGGUCGUCCGCCAGCAACCCCCAACUUUCUUAAGUUUGACCUGGGAUGAGGUAGGGAUACCCGCUGAACUUAAGCAUAUCAAUAAGCGGAGGA
rnacentral:misc_RNA from 1 species